rnacentral:rRNA from 1 species
GAGGACGAAAGCAUGGGUAGCGAAGAGGAUUAGAUACCCUCGUAGUCCAUGCCGUAAACGAUGUGUGUUAGACGUUGGAAAUUUAUUUUCAGUGUCGCAGCGAAAGCGAUAAACACACCGCCUGGGGAGUACGACCGCAAGGUUAAAACUCAAAUGAAUUGACGGGGACCCGCACAAGUAGUGGAGCAUGUGGUUUAAUUCGAAGAUACGCGCAGAACCUUACCAACACUUGACAUGUUCGUCGCGACUUUAAGAGAUUAAAGUUUUCGGUUCGGCCGGACGAAACACAGGUGCUGCAUGGCUGUCGUCAGCUCGUGUCGUGAGAUGUUGGGUUAAGUCCCGCAACGAGCGCAACCCUCACUUUUAGUUGCCAUCAUUAAGUUGGGCACUCUGAAAGAACUGCCAGUGAUAAGCUGGAGGAAGGUGGGGAUGACGUCAAGUCCUCAUGGCCCUUACGUGUUGGGCUACACACGUGCUACAAUGGUAUCUACAACAGGAAGCAAGACUGCGAAGUUAAGCAAAUCCUUAAAAGAUACCUCAGUUCGGAUUGCACUCUGCAACUCGAGUGCAUGAAGCUGGAAUUACUAGUAAUCGUGGAUCAGCGUGCCACGGUGAAUGCGUUCCCGGGUCUUGUACACACCGCCCGUCACACCAUGGGAGUUGGUUCUACCUUAAGGCAAGGUUUAAAACCCUUGACCACGGUAUAGUCAGCGACUGGGGUGAAGUCGUAACAAGGUAGCCGUAGGGGAACCUGCGGCUG